CAGUAAUUGUUGGUCCUUCAACUGUAUUAAUUGAACACCGUAUGUUAACAACAAUCAGUAAGAAGGUGACCUCUUCUACAGUUAAUCUGUGAUCAGAAUAAAUGUUCCUCAGUGAAGAAAAUGAGAUUUUCUCAUCUAGCUGUGGAUCCACAGAAGGUCAACUCAUGUUUUAAUGCAGUGCAGACAACAACCAUGGAGUCCAAAACACUGACAUAGGUAGGAAGAAGCUGGUCAACAGUCAGAGCUUCAGCACCCUGGACAGCUCUAUGACUUCAAAAUAACUGAUGAGCAGCUGGAAACUCUGCCUCAUUUAUUGGAGUCUUUGUUAAAUCCAGGAAUGGUUUGACUUUACCUGAGUCCAAGAAGGUCUCACUGUGAGGAUCCAAAGCUCUGAAAGCUUCCAUGUAUUUGUGACUCUCUCUGUUCUCUAACUAACCUGGAUCAUUCUGACGUUUUCCAUUAGAUGCCAAAUAAGGAACCAACUCUUAAAGUAAAUAUAAUAUAUAAUUAGCUGCAUGAACAACUGAUCAGAGUUUUGAUGACACCAGGAUCAAUAUUCUUGAAGAGAAAUUAACAUCUCAAACACGAUACGUCACAUAUAGUCAGUCUCCACAUGUCUAUGGAACAUAAAACGUCUCUUAACAUUUGCAUUCAACCAAGCAGCUAAAAAUAAUGAUCAGAAUCAGAGCUGCUGAGCAGCUUUCUGAGAAGGCAAAGAGGAAACAAACAUGGCCGACCACAAACAAGAGCAGCUGAGCGUUUUUACACUAUGAUUUAUUCACGUUUUAUGUCUGACAAUAUUAUUUAACUCACAGUGUUGAACUUGACAGUGUUUUCAUUCAUGUUAUUUAUUUCAUAAGCAGACUGCCACUAAAAAGACAUCCUUUAGUCCCGAUCCAUACAGAGUUGUUCCUUUUUCACAGCUUUUGUUCACUUAUUGUUAAAUUCUGACAUCUGAUCAGAAGAGAUGAGAUUUCUUAUGAAUUGCUGGAAGGUUUAAACCGUGACGACCAGAAAGCCAAAGAUGCAACAGCAGCUACAUUAUGCAAGAUCAGAUGAAGCUGAGCAAAGAAAGUGAAGGUUGUUUUUUAACAUAUAUUAUAUUUACAUAAAUUCUGAAAUAGGUUGUCUCAAUAAAAACUGCUCCUCUUGGUGGAUGUUUAACAGCUGGUCUUCCUUUCCAGGACCCUAAAAUUAGGACUUAUUUAAAAUCAGAUAAUAAAAAGAUAUAUUUCAUAACUAAAUACCAUCAUAAACUUUAAACAAUAAAACAUCUCAGGAUGAGAGGAAAUUAUCAUGGUUUUUGGGGCCAAGAAAAAACCAAAUAUAAUUUAAAACUGCAGCAACUAAUAUGAACUAAUAUGAACAAACUUAACUAAUGUCCUUGAUAAAAACUUCAGUCAGUCACCAUUUCUUCUUGUUAGACUUUCCAAGAGCUCUGGAGAAUAAUUCAAACAUGUGACUUUAAUGUUUGGGCCUUUAUUAGACUGAUCCUGGUAGAGACGGUCAGGAUAUUUACUUCCUGAAACACGUGUGGACGCCUCAACACACCUUCUACACCUCAGCUGAUGGAGAAAAACACUCUUUAACACACGUUAGAACCUAAAGUCAAAGUUUUUACAGAUAUCAGUUUAGAAGAACUUUUUAUUGAGUGUUAAUGUUAAGCAUUCCUGACACAAAACAUCACCAGAGUCAAAGUCUGCCCUGGGAUUUGUAGUUCUCAGACUUUGGUUUGGUUUCAGAUGAAGAUCGUCUGUCCAGGAAGAUAAGUAUCUCAGACACCGUCUCUCUCCAGACAGCCUUAGACCAUGAGUCCAGUUCUGAUCCUCAGGUUUGGUUCUGUGUGUCUAAGUUUAACCGUUCAUCUCCACAUUUACUGAUGUUUCACUUUGUGCUCUGCAGAAACCUCAGACUGAUCAUCUUUGAGACGCUGGAGAACACCAUUGGUAAAAUGUUUCAUCUCCUACAUGCAUGUUGUCAUGAUUUGUUUCUGCAUUUCUUAGAGACGUUGUCUUUCUUUUAGAGGAUAGAGGACCUGUGGAGGAGGAGGAAAGGAGGAAGAGGAUGCAGGUGGUGGAGAGGUUUCAGACAGCUCCUUCUGAGGAAAUAGCAGCUCUCUGUGGAUCCAGGGUCAUCAGUUGGUACCAGAACCUCAAUCUAAAAAUGAACCUUUUUGGAAGAUCUUGGUCAGACUGGAAUCUUUACCUCAUUGCUUCAGUCCAAACUAGAUCAGGUCUUUGAUCUGAUUGUUCGUCCUCCUCCGUCUCCAUCUGGACAAUCGUCUCGUCGUUGGACGCCGAUCUAUGAGAUGAACUUUCCUGACCUCUGUGUGUAUUAGAGACUCAACAGGAUGACCUGGAUCAUUAUGAAGCAUCUGAUGUUGUGUUCAAGGAACAGAGGACAGAACAACUGAGGACUGGAAACAUGUAGCAUGAGUCAUGUUUUGUGUUCAUAGAAGAAGUUUUUCUCAGUGGCUGUUUUGUUCCUCUGAGAAAGAUUUAGUUUUGUGUUGAUCUCAGUAUUUCCCAGUUUUAUGUUUCAUUUAGUUGUGAUUCUUGAAGUGUGAUUGUCAAAAAGAAAACUUCAUUUUAAAUCAUGUUGAACUAAUUCAACUUUAACUGUCCUUUUAUUUAGUUUUGUCCCUAAACUUUAAACCAACUUUUUAUUAUUCUGAAACAUUGCUGAUAAACUGUUGGAGAUGAUGAUCUCAGAGUGGAAAGUUUGAACCAUGUUUCAUGUAUCAUGUGUGACCUGGUAGAUCAAGGUGUUGGUUAGUAUGAACUGCAUGGGCUUCAUCUAAAACCAACUGUGUCAGGGUUUAAACGCAGCAAACUGGAGGAAGGACAGACAGGGUAUGAAACACAGAAAACAUCUGAUUCAUGGAGACACUGAUCAAGAAUGAUCAUAUCUGUGCAGCGUCCCAACUCAGUUACCUUCUGCUACAACUAAUCUGUCCACUAGAGGGAGCACAGAUACUUCCACAGGUUCUGCUUCAAACUUAAAGAUGAAAUAACUGCAUUCAGUGUUAUUUGACUACUUUGUUAAAUCUUUGAAUAAAGAAAUGUCUGUUUUUA